rnacentral:rRNA from 1 species
CCUACGGGGGGCAGCAGUGGGGAAUAUUGGACAAUGGGGGGAACCCUGAUCCAGCCAUGCCGCGUGUGUGAAGAAGGCCCUCGGGUUGUAAAGCACUUUCAGUGAGGAAGAACGCCUGGUGGUUAAUACCCAUCAGGAAAGACAUCACUCACAGAAGAAGCACCGGCUAACUCCGUGCCAGCAGCCGCGGUAAUACGGAGGGUGCGAGCGUUAAUCGGAAUUACUGGGCGUAAAGCGCGCGUAGGUGGCUUGAUAAGCCGGUUGUGAAAGCCCCGGGCUCAACCUGGGAACGGCAUCCGGAACUGUCAAGCUCGAGUGCAGGAGAGGAAGGUAGAAUUCCCGGUGUAGCGGUGAAAUGCGUAGAGAUCGGGAGGAAUACCAGUGGCGAAGGCGGCCUUCUGGACUGACACUGACACUGAGGUGCGAAAGCGUGGGUAGCAAACAGGAUUAGAUACCCCUGUAGUC